rnacentral:rRNA from 1 species
CAUCUGAUACUGGCAAGCUUGAGUCUCGUAGAGGGGGGUAGAAUUCCAGGUGUAGCGGUGAAAUGCGUAGAGAUCUGGAGGAAUACCGGUGGCGAAGGCGGCCCCCUGGACGAAGACUGACGCUCAGGUGCGAAAGCGUGGGGAGCAAACAGGAUUAGAUACCCUGGUAGUCCACGCCGUAAACGAUGUCGACUUGGAGGUUGUGCCCUUGAGGCGUGGCUUCCGGAGCUAACGCGUUAAGUCGACCGCCUGGGGAGUACGGCCGCAAGGUUAAAACUCAAAUGAAUUGACGGGGGCCCGCACAAGCGGUGGAGCAUGUGGUUUAAUUCGAUGCAACGCGAAGAACCUUACCUGGUCUUGACAUCCACGGAAGUUUUCAGAGAUGAGAAUGUGCCUUCGGGAACCGUGAGACAGGUGCUGCAUGGCUGUCGUCAGCUCGUGUUGUGAAAUGUUGGGUUAAGUCCCGCAACGAGCGCAACCC